rnacentral:lncRNA from 1 species
UUCUUUCCCCACAAAAAUGUCAUGUGCAUCAUCAUACGUUGAUGGUUCUUCAUCAACGUGGCUCCUCUUCCUGUGGCGUUGUUCAUGGCGACUGAUGGCGGAGGCGCCAUAUCCAUUCCAUGCAUGUGGCCGUCGUUGUCCAUUUCUUUUUUGUCCAAUUCUUCGAUUUUAUAGAAGCUCAACUUCUCUUUAUUGCACCCAUAAAAAUCCAUUUAAACCACAAGAAAAAAAAAGGAAUUUUUUUUUUAAUCAAUUCCCUCUUUUUCCUGAAUCUACUGAUAUAUUACACGUAAUUUCAAGAAUUCAAUAAUGGAGUGGAGUCCGUUUGAUGUCACAGUGAUCUCCGCCGCAUGCAUAAAAAAGGCGAAUGAUUUGAGGGGUUUUGCUCGAUGGCGGAUUCACCGAAAAUUAGGGUUUGUUCUUGAACAAAGACCAUGGAGCUUAGGGCUCAAUAACUUAAUUUUCUGUUAAUAUAUUUUAAUGUAUUGUCAACGUAUCACGCUGUAUUUUCAUGUAUUUCAUUGUAUUCAUUGUAUUGUUUUCAUUGUAAUUGAAUGUAUCUCGUUGUAUUCCAUG